rnacentral:rRNA from 1 species
UACGAAGGGGGCUAGCGUUGUCCGGAAUCAUUGGGCGUAAAGCGCGUGUAGGCGGUCCGGUAAGUCCGCUGUGAAAGUCGGGGGCUCAACCCUCGAAAGCCGGUGGAAACUGUCGGGCUAGAGUGCGGAAGAGGCGAGUGGAAUUCCUGGUGUAGCGGUGAAAUGCGCAGAUAUCAGGAGGAACACCAAUAGCGAAGGCAGCUCGCUGGGACGUUACUGACACUGAGGCGCGAAAGCGUGGGGAGCGAACAGG